UAUCAUCAAAUGCCCCCGCCUUUUCCGGUGGGUCGGCGAUUUGGACUUGGACGUGCUGCUGGGCGCUCUGCGCUCGGCUCGUCUUGAAUGCAUUAGCUGGAUCUCCCUCCGGCCUCGGACCUUAUGGCGUGAUAAGAUCACCCGUCGAGCAGUCCUUGGUCAACGUUGGGUUCCGCUUCCAACCGUCCCCCCGCGGACAACACCGAAAACCUGGUUUUCGAC
rnacentral:misc_RNA from 1 species